rnacentral:rRNA from 1 species
UGGGGAAUAUUGCACAAUGGGGGAAACCCUGAUGCAGCGACGCCGCGUGAGCGAAGAAGUAUUUCGGUAUGUAAAGCUCUAUCAGCAGGGAAGAAAAUGACGGUACCUGACUAAGAAGCCCCGGCUAACUACGUGCCAGCAGCCGCGGUAAUACGUAGGGGGCAAGCGUUAUCCGGAUUUACUGGGUGUAAAGGGAGCGUAGACGGACUGGCAAGUCUGAUGUGAAAACCCGGGGCUCAACCCCGGGACUGCAUUGGAAACUGUCAGUCUAGAGUGUCGGAGGGGUAAGUGGAAUUCCUAGUGUAGCGGUGAAAUGCGUAGAGAUCGGGAGGAACACCAGUGGCGAAGGCGGCCUACUGGGCUUUAACUGACGCUGAGGCACGAAAGCGUGGGUAGCAAACAGGAUUAGAUACC